GCCAGUAUGAAAUCGGAAGAAGACAAAAAAAAAAAAAAGUCAAAAGGUUGGAAACCGAGAAGGGGUGGAGAGAGAAGUGCUGAGCGCUGCCAUGGCAACAGGAGCGGUUGGCAUGGAGAGAGAGAAAGCCGGUGGGCCAGAAAACAGACAAACCAAACCAGGAAGAAAGAGGAAGAGGCAGCUGAGAGAGGAUAUUGCUGGUGGUUACCUCAUCACUGGAAUCAGCCAGCUUGGCAAGGAACUGAAAUCCUCAAGACUGGACUUUUAAUAUUGGUGGAUGAAUUAGUGAAGGCUGCAGGCAACUUGAAUGAAUUCCUCCUGAAGUGAUGAGGAGAAGGAAGAUCCUCAUCUGCUUUCUGCUUACAUUUACCAAACAAAAACUUUCUGUUCCUGACGUUUGUGAAUUCACAGCUCACCUAGCAGAAGUCUGCAGGGAAAAAAAGCAUCCCAUAUCCAGAACCGAAGGUAUCUUUCACGUGCCAUGUUCCCUUUCAGUGAACUAGCUUCAAUGUCUGGUGAAAUUUAGUGGCACUUGGUCCGAUAUCGGGUGAGAAAACAGAAAAUUGUCUACUGUGUCUCCAUAGCGACGGGUCUAAACACUACGUAACUGCUCUGUCGAAUAACGCCCGACUUCGAAUUCCAUUUAAAAUCAUUUACUUGAUUUAACUGAGGACACUGAGUUUUUAUCCUGUAGAUUUUUUUU